rnacentral:tRNA from 1 species
GCUCUCGUGGUGGAACUGGUAGACGCGAGGGACUUAAAAUCCCUUGGCCAGGAAUGGCCGUGCGGGUUCGAUUCCCGCCGUGAGCA